AUUGAACGCUGGCGGCAUGCUUUACACAUGCAAGUCGAACGGCCGCACGGGGGCAGCCCUGGUGUCGAGUGGCCAACGGGUGAGUAAUACAUCGGAACGUGCCCUGUCUUUGGGGAUGACGUAGCUAAAGUUACGCUAAUACCGCAUCCGAUCUGAUUUUGAACGCGGGGGACCUUCAGUCCUCGCGCGAUCUGAGCGCCCGAUGUGGGAUUAGGUAGUUGGUUGGGUAAAGGCCUACCAAGCCGACGAUCUAUAGCUGGCCUGAGAGGACGACCAGCCACACUGGGACUGAGACACGGCCCAGACUCCUACGGGAGGCAGCAGUGGGGAAUUUUGGACAAUGGGCGCAAGCCUGAUCCAGCAAUGCCGCGUGAAGGACGAAGGCCUUCGGGUUGUAAAAUGCUUUUGUAAGGAAAGAAAAGGCUCUGGCUAAUACGUGGGGAUCAUGACGGUACCGUAAGAAUAAGCAACGGCUAACUACGUG
rnacentral:rRNA from 1 species